rnacentral:lncRNA from 1 species
GGGAUGCAACACGAGGACUUCCCGGGAGGUCUCCCAUCCUAAUACUACUCUCGCCCAAGCCCGCUUAACUGCGGAGUUCUGAUGGGAUCCGGUGUUUUAGUGCUGGUAUGAUCGCAUCCGUUAGUAUAUGCAAUGCAAUCUUAUAUAUUCUUUUUUGAAGACUUGAUGAACCAUUCUUCGUGGGUCCCACCCGCUGUGUAGGGAUACCCCAUCUAGUCUUAACGAGCUUUGCUGCAUUGAAAAAAUUCUAAAACAAUGCUUGAACAAGUAAUCUUUGGUCCGUAAUAUAUCCCAAAUCACAAAAAUACCCGAAAAAGUACUUAAAGGUCAAAAUUUGGGGUCGACAAAAAGUCAAUGGAAAAGUUCCUUUGUCCUGCUUCUUUCGUCGGAGGGCUCUCUUUGGGCUUUCCGAAAAGGUAUCACAUGUCAAGUUUGGCCUCACGGUAUAAAAGUUAUAGAGUCAUAAAGUUUUAACCAAAAAAAACAAAUUAAAAACAAAGAGGGAUACAACACGAGGACUUCUCGGGAGGUCACCCAUCCUAGUACUACUCUCGCCCAAGCACGCUUAACUAAAGGUCAAAAUUUGGAGUCGACAAAAAGUCAAUGGAUAUGUUCCAUUGUCCUGCUACUUUCAUCGUAGGGCUCUCUUUGAGCUUUUCGAAAAGGUAUCACAUGCCAAGUUUGGCCUGACGGUAUAAAAGUUAUAGAGUCAUAAAGUUUUAACCAAUAAAAAAAAUUAAAAAAAAAGUGUGAUGCAACACGAAGACUUCCCGGGAGGUCACCCAUCCUAGUACUACUCUCGCCCAAGCCCGCUUAACUGCGGAGUUCUGAUGGGAUCCGGUGUAUUAGUGCUGCUAUGAUCUUAUCUGUUAGUAUAUGCAAUGCAAUCGUAUAUAUUCUUUUUGGAAGAAUUGAUGAACCAUUCGCCGUGGGUCCCACCCGCUGUGUAGGGAUACCCCAUCUAGUCUUAACGAGCUUUGAUGCAUGAUAAAAUUCUAAAACAAUGCUUGAACAAGUAAUUUUGGAUCCGUAAUAUAGCCCAAAUCACAAAAAUACCCGAAAAAGUACUUAAAGGUCAAAAUUUGGGGUCGACAAAAAGUCAAUGAAAAAGUUCCUUUGUCCUGCUUCUUUCGUCGGAGGGCUCUCUUUGGGCUAUUCGAAAAGGUAUCACAUGCCAAGUUUGGCCUCACGGUAUAAAAGUUAUAGAGUCCUAAAGUUUUAACCAAAAAAAACAAAUUAAAAAAAAAGAGGGAUGCAACACGAGGACUUCCCGGGAGGUCACCCAUCCUAGUACUACUCUCGCCCAAGCACGCUUAACUAAAUGUCAAAAUUUGGAGUCGACAAAAAAUCAAUUGAUAUGUUCCAUUGUCCUGCUACUUUCAUCGGAGGGCUCUCUUUGGGCUUUCCGAAAAUGUAUCACAUGCCAAGUUUGGCCUCACUGUAUAAAAGUUAUACAGUCAUAAAGUUUUAACCAAAGAAAAAUAUUAAAAAAAAAGGGAUGCAACACGAGGACUUCCCUGAGGUCACCAAUCCUAGUACUACUCUCGCCCAAGCACGCUUAACUACGGAGUUUUGAUGGGAUCUGGUGUAUUAGUGCUGGUAUAAUCUCAUCCGUUAGUAUAGGCAAUGCAAUGGUGUAUAUUCUUUUUUGAAGACUUGAUGAACCAUUCGUCGUGGGUCCCACCCGCUGUGUAGGGAUACCCCAUCUAGUCUUAACGAGCUUUGAUCAUGAAAAAAAUUCUAAAACAAUGCUUGAACAAGUAAUUUUGGGUCCGUAAUAUAGCCCAAAUCACAAAAUACCCGAAAAAGUACUUAAAGGUCAAAAUUUGGGAUCGACAAAAAGUCAAUGGAAAAGUUCGUUUGUCCUGCUUCUUUCGUCGGAGGGCUCUUUUUGGGCUUUCCGAAAAGGUAUCACAUGCCAAGUUUGGCCUCACGGUAUAAAAGUUAUAGAAUCAUAAAGUUUUAACCAAAAAAAACAAAUUAAAAAAAAAGAGGGAUGCAACACGAGGACUUCCCGGGAGGUCACCCAUCCUAGUACUACUCUCGCCCAAGCACGCUUAACUAAAGGUUAAAAUUUGGAGUCGACAAAAAAUCAAUGGAUAUGUUCCAUUGUCCUGCUUCUUUCAUCGGAGAGCUCUCUUUGGGCUUUCCGAAAAGGUAUCACAUGCCAAGUUUGGCCUCACUGUAUAAAAGUUAUAGAGUCAUAAAGUUUUAACCAAUGAAAAAAAUUAAAAAAAAAGAGGGAUGCAACACGAGGACUUCCCGGGAGGUCACCCAUCCUAGUACUACUCUCGCCCAAGCCCCCUUAACUGCGGAGUUCUGAUGGGAUCCGGUGUAUUAGUGUUGGUAUGAUCUUAUCUGUUAGUAUAUGCAAUGCAAUCGUAUAUAUUCUUUUUGGAAGAAUUGAUGAACCAUUCGCCGUGGGUCCCACCCGCUGUGUAGGGAUACCCCAACUAGUCUUAACGAGCUUUGAUGCAUGAAAAAAUUCUAAAACAAUGCUUGAACAAGUUAUUUUGGGUCCGUAAUCUAGCCCAAAUCACAAAAAUGCCCGAAAAAGUACUUAAAGGUCAAAAUUUGUGGUCGGCAAAAAGUCAAAGGAAAAGUUCGUUUGUCCUGUUUCUUUCGUCGGAGGGUUCUCUUUGGGAUUUCCGAAAAGGUAUCACAUGCCUAGUUUGGCCUCACGGUAUAAAAGUUAUAGAGUCAUAAAGUUUUAACCAAAAAAAACAAAUUAAAAAAAAAGAGGGAUGCAACACGAGGACUUCCCGGGAGGUCACCCAUCCUAGUACAAUAUUCGCCCAAGCACGCUUAACUGCGGAGUUCUGAUGGGAUCUCGUGUAUUAGUGCUGGUAUGAUCGCAUACGUUAGUAUAUGCAAUGCAAUCGUAUAUAUUCUUUUUUGAAGACUUGAUGAACCAUUCGUCGUGGGUCGCACCCGCUAUGUAGGAUACCCCAUCUAGUCUUAACGAGCUUUGAAGCAUGAAAAAAUUCUAAAACAAUGAUUGAACAAGUAAUUUUGUGUCCGUAAUAUAGCCCAAAUCACAAAUAUGCCCGAAAAAGUACUUAAAGGUCAAAAUUUGGGAUCGACAAAAAGUCAAUAAAAUUGUUCCAUUGUCCUGCUUCUUUCGUCGGAGGGCUCUCUUUACGCUUUCCGAAAAGAUAUCACAUGCCAAGUUUGGCCUCACGGUAUAAAAAUUAUAGAGUCAUAAAGUUUUAACCAAAAAAAACAAUUUAAAAAAAAAGAAGGAUGAAACACGAGGACUUCCCGGGAGGUCACCCAUCCUAGUACUACUCUCGCCCAAGCACGCUUAACUAAAGGUCAAAAUUUAGAGUCGACAAAAAAUCAAUGGAUAUGUUCCAUUGUCCUGCUUCUUUCAUCAGAGGGCUCUCUUUGGGCUUUCCGAAAAGGUAUCACAUGCCAAGUUUGGCCUCACUGUUUAAAAGUUGUAGAGUCAUAAAGUUUUAACCAAUGAAAAAAAUUUUUAAAAAAAGAGGGAUGCAACACGAGGACUUCCCAGGAGGUCACCCAUCCUAAUACUACUCUCGCUCAAGCACACUUAACUGCGGAGUUCUGAUGGGAUCCGGUGUAUUAGUGCUGGUAUGAUCUCAUCUGUUAGUAUAUGCAAUGCAAUCGUAUAUAUUCUUUUUGAAAGAAUUGAUGAACCUUCGCCGUGGGUCCCACCCGCUGUAUAGGGACACCCCAUCUAGUCUUAACGAGCUUUGAUGCAUAAAAAAAUUCUAAAACAAUGCUUUAACAAGUAAUUUUGGGUCCGUAAUAUAGCCCAAAUCACAAAAAUGCGCGAAAAAGUAUUUAAAGGUCAAAAUUUGGGUUCGACAAAAAGUCAAUGGAAAAGUUCGUUUGUCGUGCUUCUUUCGUCGGAAGGCUCUCUUUGGGAUUUCCGAAAAGGUAGCACAUGCCUAGUUUGGCCUCACGGUAUAAAAGUUAUAGAGUUAUAAAGUUUUAACCAAAAAAAACAAAUUAAAAAAAAGAGGGAUGCAACACGAGGACUUCCCGGGAGGUCACCCAUCCUAGUACUACUCUCGCCCAAGCACGCUUAACGAAAGGUCAAAAUUUGGAGUCGACAAAAACUCAAUACAUAUGUUCCAUUGUCCUGCUUCUUUCAUCGGAGGGCUUUCUUUGGGCUUUCCGAAAAGGUAUCACAUGCCUAGUUUGGCCUCUCGGUAUAAAAGUUAUAGAGUCAUAAAGUUUUAACCAAAGAAAAAAAUUAAAAAAAAAGAGAGAUACAACACGAGGACUUCCCGGGAGGUCACCCAUCCUAGUACUACUCUCGCCCAAGCAUGCUUAACUGCGGAUUUCUGAUGGGAUCCGGUGUAUUAGUGCUGGUAUGAUCGCAUCCGUUAGUAUAUGCAAUGCAAUCGUAUAUAUUCUUUUUUGAAGACUUGAUGAACCAUUCGCCGUGGGUCGCACCCGCUAUGUAGGGAUACCCCAUCUAGUCUUAACGAGCUUUGAUGCAUGAUAAAAUUCUAAUACAAUGAUUGAACAAGUAAUUUUGGGUCCGUAAUAUAGCCCAAAUCACAAAUAUGACCGAAAAAGUACUUAAAGGUCAAAAUUUGGGAUCGACAAAAAGUCAAUGAAAUUGUUCCAUUGUCCUGCUUCUUUCGUCGGAGGGCUCUCUUUACGCUUUCCGAAAAGGUAUCACAUGCCAAGUUUGGCCUCACGGUAUAUAAGUUAUAGAGUCAUAAAGUUUUAACCAAAAAAAACAAAUUAAAAAAAAAGAAGGAUGCAACACGAGGACUUCCCGGGAGGUCACCCAUCCUAGUACUACUCUCGCCCAAGCACGCUUAACUAAAGGUCAAAAUUUGGAGUCGACAAAAAAUCAAUGGAUAAGUUCCAUUGUCCUGCUUCUUUCAUCGGAAGGCUCUCUUUGGGCUUUCCGAAAAGGUAUCACAUGCCAAGUUUGGCUUGACGGUAUAAAAGUUAUAUAGUCAUAAAGUUUUAACAAAAAAAAAACAAAUUAAAAAAAAAGAGGGAUGCAACACGAGGACUUCUCGGGAGGUCACCCAUCCUAGUACUACUCUCGCCCAAGCACGCUUAACUAAAGGUCAAAAUUUGGAGUCGACAAAAACUCAAUACAUAUGUUCCAUUGUCCUGCUUCUUUCAUCUGAGGGCUCUCUUUGGCUUUCCGAAAAGGUAUCACAUGCCAAGUUUGGCCUCACUAUAUAAAAGUUAUAGAGUCAUAAAGUUUUAACCAAUGAAACAAAUUAAAAAAAACAGAGAGAUGCAACACGAGGACUUCCCGGGAGGUCACCCAUCCUAGUACUACUCUCGCCCAAGCACGCUUAACUGCGGAGUUCUGAUGGGAUCCAGUGUAUUAGUGUUAGUAUGAUCGCAUCCGUUAGUAUAUGGAAUGCAAUCGUAUAUAUUCUUUUUUGAAGACCUGAUAAACCAUUCGCCGUGGGUCGCACCCGCUAUGUAGGGAUACCCCAUCUAGUCUUAACGAGCUUUGAAGCAUGCAAAAAUUCUAAAACAAUGCUUCAACAAGUAAUUUUGGGUCCGUAAUAUAGCCCAAAUCACAAAUAUGCCCGAAAAAGUACUUAAAGGUCAAAAUUUGGGAUCGACAAAAAGUCAAUGAAAUUGUUCCGUUGUCUUGCUUCUUUUGUCGGAAGGCUCUCUUUACGCUUUCCGAAAAGGUAUCACAUGCCAAGUUUGACCUCACGGUAUAAAAGUUAUAGAGUCAUAAAGUUUUAACCAAAAAAAACAAAUUAAAAAAAAAAGAAGGAUGCAACACGAGGACUUCCCGGGAGGUCACCCAUCCUAAUACUACUCUCGCCCAAGCACGCUUAACUAAAGGUCAAAAUUUGGAGUCGACAAAAAAUCAAUGGAUAAGUUCCAUUGUCCUGCUUCUUUCAUCGGAGGGCUCUCUUUGGGCUUUCCGAAAAGGUAUCAGAUGCCAAGUUUGGCCUGACGGUAUAAAAGUUAUAGAGUCAUAAAUUUUUAACAAAAAAAAAACAAAUUAAUAAAAAAGAGGGAUGCAACACGAGGACUUCCCGGGAGGUCACCCAUCCUAGUACUACUCUAGCCCAAGCACGCUUAACUAAAGGUCAAAAUUUGGAGUCGACAAAAACUCAAUACAUAUGUUCCAUUGUCCUGCUUCUUUCAUCCGAGGGCUCUCUUUGGGCUUUCCGAAAAAGGUAUCACAUGCCAAGUUUGGCCUCACUGUAUAAAAGUUAUAGAGUCAUAAAGUUUUAACCAAAGAAAAAAAUUAAAAAAAAAAGAGGGAUGCAAGACAAGGACUUCCCGGGAGGUCACCCAUCUUAGUACUACUCUCGCCCAAGCACGCUUAACUACGGUGUUCUGAUGGGAUCCGGUGUAUUAGUGCUGGUAUGAUCACAUCCGUUAGUAUAUGCAAUGCAAUCGUAUAUAUUCUUUUUGGAAGAAUUGAUGAACCAUUCGCCAUGGGCCCCAUCCGCUAUGUAGGGAUACCCCAUCUAGUCUUAACGAGCUUUGAUGCAUGAAAAAAUUCUAAAACAAUGCUUGAACAAGUAAUUUUUGGUCCGUAAUAUAGCCCAAAUCACAAAAAUACGCGAAAAGUACUUAAAGGUCAAAAUUUAGGGUCGACAAAAAGUCAAUGGAAAAGUUUGUUUGUCCUGCUUCUUUCGUCGGAGGGCUCUCUUUGGGCUUUCCGAAAAGGUAUCACAUGCCAAGUUUGGCCUCACGGUAUAAAAGUUAUAGAAUCAUAAAGUUUUAACCAAAAAAAACAAAUUAAAAAAAAACAGGGAUGCAACACGAGGAGUUCCCAGGAGGUCACCCAUCCUAGUACUACUCUCGCCCAAGCAUGCUUAACAAAAGGUUAAAAUUUAGAGUCGACAAAAAAUCAAUGGAUAUGUUCCAUUGUCCUGCUUCUUUCAUCGGAGGGCUCUCUUUGGGCUUUCCGAAAAUGUAUCACAUGCCAAGUUUGGCCUCACUGUAUAAAAGUUAUAGAGUCAUAAAGUUUUAACCAAAGAAAAAAAUUAAAAAAAAGAGGGAUGAGACACGAGGACUUCCCGGGAGGUCAUCCAUCUUAGUACUACUCUCGCCCAAGCACGCUUAACUGCGGAGUUCUGAUGGGAUCCGGUGUAUUAGUGCUGGUAUGAUCACAUCCGUUAGUAUAUGCAAUACAAUCGUAUAUAUUGUUUUUUGAAGACUUGAUGAACCAUUUGCCAUAGGUCUCAUCCGCUAUGUAGGGAUACCUCAUCUACUCUUAACGAGCUUUGAUGCAUGAAAAAAUUCUAAAACAAUGCUUGAACAAGUAAUUUUGGGUUCGUAAUAUAACCCAAAUCACAAAAAUACCCGAAAAAGUACUUAAAGGUCAAAAUUUGGGGUCGACAAAAAGUCAAUGGAAAAGUUCCUUUGUCCUGCUUCUUUCGUCGGAGGGCUCUUUUUGGGCUUUCCGAAAAGUUAUUACAUGCCAAGUUUGGCCUCACGGUAUAAAAGUUAUAGAGUCAUAAAGUUUUAACCAAAGAAAAAAAUUAAAAAAAAGAGGGAUGCAACACGAGGACUUCCCGGGAGGUCACCCAUCCUAGUACUACUCUUGCCCAAGCACGCUUAACUGCGGAGUUCUGAUGUGAUCCAGU